ACAACAUUCGAACCGUCGGUCUACCGAGCAAAAUAUCACCAGCACAGUCGAAGAUCUUCCCUUGGUUGU
rnacentral:pre_miRNA from 1 species